CCUCGGCGGCUGCAUACCGCCGCCGCCCAGGCUAUAUCGACUCUAUUAUCCUGUAACCGUCUGACUGAAACUUUUAAAAUAAGUAAAAACUUUCAACAACGGAUCUCUUGGCUCCGGCAUCGAUGAAGAACGCAGCGAAAUGCGAUAACUAGUGUGAAUUGCAGAAUUCAGUGAAUCAUCGAGUCUUUGAACGCACAUUGCGGCCGCCGGUAUUCCGGCGGCCAUGCCUGUCCGAGCGCCACUAAUACCCUCAGAACCCGUUUUCUGGCGUUGGGCGGCCGCCUUGCGAAAAGGCGGCUGCCUGAAAAUUAGUGGCGGCGGCGCUCGCGGCGCGACGUACUCGGUAACUCCUACUAGUACGAAGUCCCCGGCGCUUUUCCGGCCGUCUACCAAAACCCCCUUUUAUGCAAAAGUGGUUGGCCUCGGAUCAGGUAGGAUUACCCGCUGAACUUAAGCAUAUCAAUAAGCGGAGGAAAAGAAAGCAACUGCGAUUGCCCUAGUAACGGCGAGUGAAGAGGCAGCAGCCCAGAUUUGAAAUCUGGCUCCCUUGUGGGGUCCGAGUUGUAAUCUGCAGAGGGUUAGUCCGGUUAGCCUCCCGCCUAGUUCCCUGGAACGGGACGCCGUAGAGGGUGAUAGCCCCGUACGGCGGGCUGGCGAGCCGAUGUGACUGCCCUUCGAAGAGUCGCAUAGUUUGGGAAUGCUGUGCAAAGUGGGAGGUAUGCUCCUCCUAAGGCUAAAUACCGGCUGGAGACCGAUAGCGCACAAGUAGAGUGAUCGAAAGAUGAAAAGCACUUUGAAAAGAGGGUUAAAUAGUACGUGAAAUUGUUGAAAGGGAAGCGCCCGCGACCAGACUCGCGGCUGGCGGAUCAUCCUGCUCCUCGCAGGUGCGCUCCGCCAGCCGCGGGCCAGCAUCGGUCAGGCUCGCCGUGCAAAGACGCCAGGAACGUAGCCCCCCGUCAGGGGGGUGUUAUAGCCUGACGCGCAAUGCGGUGGGCCUGCCCGAGGACCGCGCCUUUACCGGCAAGGAUGCUGGCGUAAUGGUCGUCGGCGGCCCGUCUUGAAACACGGACC
rnacentral:rRNA from 1 species